rnacentral:rRNA from 1 species
CCCUCCGUAAAAGGGACCUGCGGAAGGAUCAUUAAAGAUUAUGAAUGAAUAGAUUACUGGGGGAAUCGUCUGAACAAGGGCUGCGCUUAAUUGCGCGGGCAGUUCUUGAUUCUCUGCUAUCAGUUUUCUAUUUCUCAUCCUAAACACAAUGGAGUUUUUUCUCUAUGAACUACUUCCCUGGAGAGCUCGUCUCUCCAGUGGACAUAAACACAAACAAUAUUUUGUAUUAUGAAAAACUAUUAUACUAUAAAAUUUAAUAUUCAAAACUUUCAACAACGGAUCUCUUGGUUCUCGCAUCGAUGAAGAACGCAGCGAAUUGCGAUAUGUAUUGUGAAUUGCAGAUUUUCGUGAAUCAUCAAAUCUUUGAACGCACAUUGCGCCCUCUGGUAUUCCAGGGGGGAUGCCUGUUUGAGCGUCAUUUCUCUCUCAAACCUUUGGGUUUGGUAGUGAGUGAUACUCGUCUCGGGUUAACUUGAAAGUGGGUAGCCGUUGCCAUCUGCGUGAGCAGGGGUGCGUGUCAAGUCUAUGGACUCGACUCUUGCACAUCUACGUCUUAGGUUUGCGCCAAUUCGUGGUAAGCUUGGGUCAUAGAGACUCAUAGGUGUUAUAAAGACUCGCUGGUGUUUGUCUCCUUGAGGGAUACGGGUUUAACCAAAACUCUCAAAGUUUGACCUCAAAUCAGGUAGGAGUACCCGCUGAACUUAAGCAUAUCAAUAGCCGGGAGGGAAGA